rnacentral:rRNA from 1 species
UACGAAGGGGGCUAGCGUUGUUCGGAAUUACUGGGCGUAAAGCGCACGUAGGCGGAUCGAUCAGUCAGGGGUGAAAUCCCAGGGCUCAACCCUGGAACUGCCUUCGAUACUGUCGAUCUGGAGUAUGGAAGAGGUGAGUGGAAUUCCGAGUGUAGAGGUGAAAUUCGUAGAUAUUCGGAGGAACACCAGUGGCGAAGGCGGCUCACUGGUCCAUUACUGACGCUGAGGUGCGAAAGCGUGGGGAGCAAACAGG